ACGGGAGGCAGCAGUGGGGAAUAUUGCACAAUGGGCGAAAGCCUGAUGCAGCGACGCCGCGUGAGUGAAGAAGUAUUUCGGUAUGUAAAGCUCUAUCAGCAGGGAAGAAAAUGACGGUACCUGACUAAGAAGCACCGGCUAAAUACGUGCCAGCAGCCGCGGUAAUACGUAUGGUGCAAGCGUUAUCCGGAUUUACUGGGUGUAAAGGGAGCGUAGACGGCGAGGCAAGUCUGAAGUGAAAGCUCGGGGCUCAACCCCGGAACUGCUUUGGAAACUGUUUUGCUAGAGUGCAGGAGAGGCAAGUGGAAUUCCUAGUGUAGCGGUGAAAUGCGUAGAUAUUAGGAGGAACACCAGUGGCGAAGGCGGCUUGCUGGACUGUAACUGACGUUGAGGCUCGAAAGCGUGGGGAGCAAACAGGAUUAGAUACCCUGGUA
rnacentral:rRNA from 1 species